rnacentral:rRNA from 1 species
UACGUAGGGUGCGAGCGUUGUCCGGAAUUACUGGGCGUAAAGAGCGCGCAGGCGGUCGUUCAAGUCGCGUGUGAAAGCCCCCGGCUCAACUGGGGAGGGUCACGCGAUACUGAUCGACUCGAAGGCAGGAGAGGGUAGUGGAAUUCCCGGUGUAGUGGUGAAAUGCGUAGAUAUCGGGAGGAACACCAGUGGCGAAGGCGAGGUCCUGGACGUUUCUGGACGCUGAGUACGGCGAAAGCCAGGGGAGCGAACGGGAGUUAAGCAUGACCCGAGUAGUCCGAGACAAGAUCUC